UACGAAGGGGGCUAGCGUUGCUCGGAAUCACUGGGCGUAAAGCGCACGUAGGCGGAUUUGUAAGUCAGGGGUGAAAUCCCGGGGCUCAACCUCGGAACUGCCUUUGAUACUGCAAGUCUCGAGUCCGAUAGAGGUGAGUGGAAUUCCUAGUGUAGAGGUGAAAUUCGUAGAUAUUAGGAAGAACACCAGUGGCGAAGGCGGCUCACUGGAUCGGUACUGACGCUGAGACGCGAAAGCGUGGGGAGCAAACAGG
rnacentral:rRNA from 1 species